CUCAGGAUGAACGCUAGCGGCAGGCCUAACACAUGCAAGUCGAGGGGUAACAAGUCUAGCUUGCUAGAUGUUGACGACCGGCGCACGGGUGCGCAACGCGUAUACAAUCUACCCCCUACUGUGGGAUAGCCCAGAGAAAUUUGGAUUAAGACCACAUGGUACCAUUUUACGGCAUCGUAUUAAUGGUUAAAGGUUACGGUAGGGGAUGAGUAUGCGUCCCAUUAGUUAGUUGGCGAGGUAACGGCUCACCAAGACCGCGAUGGGUAGGGGCCCUGAGAGGGGGAUCCCCCACACUGGUACUGAGACACGGACCAGACUCCUACGGGAGGCAGCAGUGAGGAAUAUUGGACAAUGGGCGGGAGCCUGAUCCAGCCAUGCCGCGUGCAGGAAGAAUGCCCUAUGGGUAGUAAACUGCUUUUAUACGGGAAGAAAAAGAGCUACGUGUAGCUUACUGACGGUACCGUAAGAAUAAGGACCGGCUAACUCCGUGCCAGCAGCCGCGGUAAUACGGAGGGUCCGAGCGUUAUCCGGAAUUAUUGGGUUUAAAGGGUCCGUAGGCGGGCCGAUAAGUCAGUGGUGAAAGUUUGCAGCUCAACUGUAAAAUUGCCUUUGAUACUGUCGGUCUUGAGUUAUAGUGAAGUUGCCGGAAUAUGUAGUGUAGCGGUGAAAUGCAUAGAUAUUACAUAGAACACCGAUUGCGAAGGCAGGUGACUAACUAUAUACUGACGCUGAUGGACGAAAGCGUGGGGAGCGAACAGGAUUAGAUACCCUGGUAGU
rnacentral:rRNA from 1 species